UACGAAGGGGGCUAGCGUUGCUCGGAUUCAUUGGGCAUAAAGGGUGCGUAGGUGGCGCGGUAAGUCGGGUGUGAAAUUUCGGAGCUUAACUCCGAAACUGCAUUCGAUACUGCCGUGCUUGAGGACUGGAGAGGAGACUGGAAUUUACGGUGUAGCAGUGAAAUGCGUAGAGAUCGUAAGGAAGACCAGUGGCGAAGGCGGGUCUCUGGACAGUUCCUGACACUGAGGCACGAAGGCCAGGGGAGCAAACGGG
rnacentral:rRNA from 1 species